rnacentral:rRNA from 1 species
UACGAAGGGUGCAAGCGUUAUUCGGAAUCAUUGGGCGUAAAGCGCGCGCAGGCGGAUCAGCAAGUCAGAUGUGAAAUCUCGGAGCUCAACUCCGAAACUGCGUCUGAAACUGCUAGUCUAGAAUGUCGGAGGGGGCAGGGGAAUUUCACGUGUAGGGGUAAAAUCCGUAGAGAUGUGAAGGAACACCGGGGGCGAAGGCGCCUGCCUGGACGACUAUUGACGCUGAGGCGCGAAAGCGUGGGGAGCAAACAGG